UUAAUUCAAUGCCAAAAACAA
rnacentral:piRNA from 1 species